AAUCAAAGUUUAUGAUAUCUUCGUAGUAAUAACGAGGGAGAACGCAAGAGUUUACGGGCUUCCUACAACAGAACAAUAUACGAAGACAACUGACAUGCCCAGCGACCUCGCAACAAAAUGGGAUUGCAGAGCGAAAUAAUUGACACUUGACAGAGACUUGCCAAAGGACGUUACAUGCUAAGAAAGAAUGUGCCACCACGUUUUUGGGAAGAGUUUUAAAAAAAACGACUGCUUAUGUUAUCAAUAGACUACCGCAAGCAAAGCUCAGUUUCAUGACACGGUACGAGACUUUGGAAAAUCAAGUCUACGCAUGAGCUCCUUGCUUAACCAGAAUGAGGGAACCAUUAUUUUGAUACCAUCAGUCGUGGAGGGAUUAUGGUAACGGAAUCUUUCAUUUUCCAAAUAUUUUGGAGCUUUUGCGGGCCACCUAAUGAUGAUUGAUAUGGAUAUCCAUAAUUUCAAUAAUCCAAUAAAUUUGGGUUAGGAUAUUAGGAGGUUUUUCAUAUAUACCAAAUAUAAACUUUAUUUAUUAAAUUAUUAAAUUUCAAUCAUUUAUAAUA